UGGGCAACCUGCCCCUAGCUCUGGGAUAACUGCGGGAAACUGUAGCUAAUACCGGAUGAGACACGAGACUGCAUGGUCUUCGUGUGGAAAGAUUUAUCGGCUAGGGAUGGGCCCGCGGUCUAUCAGCUUGUUGGUGGGGUAAUGGCUCACCAAGGCGACGACGGAUAACCGGCCUGAGAGGGCGACCGGUCACACUGGGACUGAGACACGGCCCAGACUCCUACGGGAGGNA
rnacentral:rRNA from 1 species